rnacentral:rRNA from 1 species
CCUACGGGAGGCAGCAGUAGGGAAUCUUCCGCAAUGGGCGAAAGCCUGACGGAGCAACGCCGCGUGAGUGAUGAAGGGUUUCGGCUCGUAAAACUCUGUUAUUAGGGAAGAACGAAUGUGWAAGUAACUGUGCACAUCUUGACGGUACCUAAUCAGAAAGCCACGGCUAACUACGUGCCAGCAGCCGCGGUAAU